rnacentral:sRNA from 1 species
UCAUACCUGCGUUAGGGAUUGAAACGACAUCCUUUUUUAUUUUUUUGAAAUAAAAAAGAUAUAGUGUAAAGCCCGACCUUUU